AGCGAACGCUGGCGGCAGGCUUAACACAUGCAAGUCGAACGCCCCGCAAGGGGAGUGGCAGACGGGUGAGUAACACGUGGGAACGUACCCUUUGGUUCGGAAUAACUUGGGGAAACUCAAGCUAAUGCCGGAUAAGCCCUUAUGGGGAAAGGUUUGCUGCCGAAGGAUCGGCCCGCGUCUGAUUAGCUAGUUGGUGAGGUAAUGGCUCACCAAGGCGACGAUCAGUAGCUGGUCUGAGAGGAUGACCAGCCACACUGGGACUGAGACACGGCCCAGACUCCUACGGGAGGCAGCAGUGGGGAAUAUUGGACAAUGGGGGCAACCCUGAUCCAGCCAUGCCGCGUGAGUGAUGAAGGCCUUAGGGUUGUAAAGCUCUUUUACCCGGGACGAUAAUGACUGUACCGGGAGAAUAAGCCCCGGCUAACUUCGUGCCAGCCGCCGCGGUAA
rnacentral:rRNA from 1 species